rnacentral:rRNA from 1 species
UACAGAGGUCUCAAGCGUUGUUCGGAUUCAUUGGGCGUAAAGGGUGCGUAGGUGGCGAGGUAAGUUGGAUGUGAAAUCCCGGGGCUCAACCCCGGAACUGCAUUCAAUACUGCCUUGCUGGAGUACAGGAGAGGAGAUUGGAAUUUACGGUGUAGCAGUGAAAUGCGUAGAUAUCGUAAGGAAGACCAGUGGCGAAGGCGGAUCUCUGGACAGUUACUGACACUGAGGCACGAAGGCCAGGGGAGCAAACGGG